UAAUACGGGGGGAGCAAGCGUUGUUCGGAUUUACUGGGCGUAAAGGGCGCGUAGGCGGCGUGACAAGUCACUUGUGAAAUCUCCGGGCUUAACUCGGAACGGUCAAGUGAUACUGUCAUGCUAGAGUGCGGAAGGGGCAACUGGAAUUCUUGGUGUAGCGGUGAAAUGCGUAGAUAUCAAGAGGAACACCUGCGGCGAAGGCGGGUUGCUGGGCCGACACUGACGCUGACAGCGCGAAAGCUAGGGGAGCGAACGGGAUUAGAUACCCCGGUAGUCCUAGCCUUAAACGAUGAAUGCUUGGUGUCUGGGGUUUUAUAUUCCCCGGGUGCCGUCGCUAACGCAUUAAGCAUUCCGCCUGGGGAGUACGGUCGCAAGACU
rnacentral:rRNA from 1 species